rnacentral:sRNA from 1 species
CUUGUUGCUUCGGCGGGCCCGCCUUAACUGGCCGCCGGGGGGCUUACGCCCCCGGGCCCGCGCCCGCCGAAGACACCCUCGAACUCUGUCUGAAGAUUGUAGUCUGAGUGAAAAUAUAAAUUAUUUAAAACUUUCAACAACGGAUCUCUUGGUUCCGGCAUCGAUGAAGAACGCAGCGAAAUGCGAUACGUAAUGUGAAUUGCAAAUUCAGUGAAUCAUCGAGUCUUUGAACGCACAUUGCGCCCCCUGGUAUUCCGGGGGGCAUGCCUGUCCGAGCGUCAUUGCUGCCCUCAAGCACGGCUUGUGUGUUGGGCCCCGUCCUCCGAUCCCGGGGGACGGGCCCGAAAGGCAGCGGCGGCACCGCGUCCGGUCCUCGAGCGUAUGGGGCUUUGUCACCCGCUCUGUAGGCCCGGCCGGCGCUUGCCGAUCAACCCAAAUUUUUAUCCAGGUUGACCUCGGAUCAGGUAGGGAUACCCGCUGAACUUAAGCAUAUCAAUAAGCGGAGGAAAAGAAACCAACAGGGAUUGCCCCAGUAACGGCGAGUGAAGCGGCAAGAGCUCAAAUUUGAAAGCUGGCUCCUUCGGGGUCCGCAUUGUAAUUUGUAGAGGAUGCUUCGGGAGCGGUCCCCAUCUAAGUGCCCUGGAACGGGACGUCAUAGAGGGUGAGAAUCCCGUAUGGGAUGGGGUGUCCGCGCCCGUGUGAAGCUCCUUCGACGAGUCGAGUUGUUUGGGAAUGCAGCUCUAAAUGGGUGGUAAAUUUCAUCUAAAGCUAAAUAUUGGCCGGAGACCGAUAGCGCACAAGUAGAGUGAUCGAAAGAUGAAAAGCACUUUGAAAAGAGAGUUAAAAAGCACGUGAAAUUGUUGAAAGGGAAGCGCUUGCGACCAGACUCGCUCGCGGGGUUCAGCCGGCAUUCUUGCCCGGGGAAGUAUGCCAGUGUACUUCCCCCGCGGGCGGGGCCAGCGUCGGUUUUGGGCGGUCGGGCAAAGGCCCUCGGAAGGUAACGCCCCUAGGGGCGUCUUAUAACCGAAGGGUGCAAUGCCACCUGGCUAAAAACUAAGAGACGAGCGUUCCGGUUCCGAACCCUGGGAAUAAUGGGGGAAAAACGACCCGCUUCUGGAAACACGCGGAAUAGGGCAGCAGGCCAAGUUUU